UACGGAGGGUGCGAGCGUUGUCCGGAAUCACUGGGCGUAAAGGGCGCGUAGGCGGCUUGGGAAGUCCGUGGUGAAAGCUCGUGGCUCAACUACGAGUCGGCCAUGGAUACUCCUAAGCUCGAGUCGACUAGAGGCAGAUGGAAUUCCGGGUGUAGCGGUGGAAUGCGUAGAGAUCCGGAAGAACACCGGUGGCGAAGGCGGUCUGCUGGGGUCGAACUGACGCUGAGGCGCGACAGCGUGGGGAGCGAACAGG
rnacentral:rRNA from 1 species